rnacentral:snRNA from 1 species
AUAGCUUGUAAAGUUGAAGAACAACAAAUCGACAUGAUAUUAAAUGUAUUUUUCUAGGGGGAGGGUCCACUCACAAUAGCUUGCUAUUGGGGCUCUCGGGCGUCGCUUGUGCGUUGCACUACAGCACCAGCCUGGCGCACCCCAA